CACCGCCCGUCAAAUCACGAAAGUCGGUAAUGCCUGAAACCAGCUCCCGCGAGGGAAACCUCCGCAAGGGGAGAAAGCUGACAAGGGUAGGAUUGGCGAUUGGGAUU
rnacentral:rRNA from 1 species